CUCGUAGGCGGUUCGGUAAGUUGGGUGUGAAAACUCCAGGCUCAACCUGGAGAGGCCACUCAAUACUGCCGUGACUAGAGUUCGGUAGAGGAUCGUGGAAUUUCUGGUGUAGCGGUGAAAUGCGCAGAUAUCAGAAGGAACACCAACGGCGAAGGCAGCGAUCUGGGCCGAUACUGACGCUGAGGAGCGAAAGCAUGGGGAGCAAACAGGAUUAGAUACCCUGGUAGUCC
rnacentral:rRNA from 1 species